rnacentral:rRNA from 1 species
UACGUAGGGUGCAAGCGUUGUCCGGAAUUUAUUGGGCGUAAAGAGCUCGUAGGCGGUUUGUCGCGUCUGCUGUGAAAAACUCGGGGCUUAACCCCGGGCCUGCAGUGGGUACGGGCAGACUAGAGUGCGGUAGGGGAGACUGGAAUUCCUGGUGUAGCGGUGAAAUGCGCAGAUAUCAGGAGGAACACCGGUGGCGAAGGCGGGUCUCUGGGCCGUAACGACGCCUGAGGAGCGAAAGCGUGGGGAGCGAACAGG